AACGAACGCUGGCGGCAGGCUUAACACAUGCAAGUCGAGCGCCCCGCAAGGGGAGCGGCAGACGGGUGAGUAACGCGUGGGAACGUACCUUUUGGUUCGAAACAACUCCGGGAAACUGGAGCUAAUACCGGAUAAGCCCUAACGGGGAAAGAUUUAUCGCCGAAAGAUCGGCCCGCGUCUGAUUAGCUAGUUGGUGAGGUAACGGCUCACCAAGGCGACGAUCAGUAGCUGGUCUGAGAGGAUGAUCAGCCACACUGGGACUGAGACACGGCCCAGACUCCUACGGGAGGCAGCAGUGGGGAAUAUUGGACAAUGGGCGCAAGCCUGAUCCAGCCAUGCCGCGUGAGUGAUGAAGGCCUUAGGGUUGUAAAGCUCUUUUGUCCGGGAAGAUAAUGACUGUACCGGAAGAAUAAGCCCCGGCUAACUUCGUG
rnacentral:rRNA from 1 species